AGUGAACGCUGGCGGUAGGCCUAACACAUGCAAGUCGAACGGCAGCACAGUAAGAGCUUGCUCUUACGGGUGGCGAGUGGCGGACGGGUGAGGAAUGCAUCGGAAUCUACUUUUUCGUGGGGGAUAACGUAGGGAAACUUACGCUAAUACCGCAUACGACCUACGGGUGAAAGCAGGGGAUCUUCGGACCUUGCGCGAUUGAAUGAGCCGAUGUCGGAUUAGCUAGUUGGCGGGGUAAAGGCCCACCAAGGCGACGAUCCGUAGCUGGUCUGAGAGGAUGAUCAGCCACACUGGAACUGAGACACGGUCCAGACUCCUACGGGAGGCAGCAGUGGGGAAUAUUGGACAAUGGGCGCAAGCCUGAUCCAGCCAUACCGCGUGGGUGAAGAAGGCCUUCGGGUUGUAAAGCCCUUUUGUUGGGAAAGAAAAGCAGCAGGUUAAAACCCCGCUGUUCUGACGGUACCCAAAGAAUAAGCACCGGCUAACUUCGUG
rnacentral:rRNA from 1 species